rnacentral:rRNA from 1 species
UACGGGGGGGGCUAGCGUUGUUCGGAAUUACUGGGCGUAAAGGGCUCGUAGGUGGCCAACUAAGUCACACGUGAAAUCCCUCGGCUUAACCGAGGAACUGCGUGUGAUACUGGAUGGCUUGAAUCCGGGAGAGGGAUGCGGAAUUCCAGGUGUAGCGGUGAAAUGCGUAGAUAUCUGGAGGAACACCGGUGGCGAAGGCGGCAUCCUGGACCGGCAUUGACACUGAGGAGCGAAAGCCAGGGGAGCAAACGGG